GACGAACGCUGGCGGCGUGCUUAACACAUGCAAGUCGAACGGUGAUGCUCCAGCUUGCUGGCGUGGAUCAGUGGCGAACGGGUGAGUAUCACGUGAGCAACCUGCCCCAGACUCUGGGAUAAGCGCUGGAAACGGCGUCUAAUACUGGAUACGAAACUGGCCCGCAUGGGCAUGGUUUGUAAAGUUUUUCGGUUUGGGAUGGGCUCGCGGCCUAUCAGCUUGUUGGUGAGGUAAUGGCUCACCAAGGCGACGACGGGUAGCCGGCCUGAGAGGGCGACCGGCCACACUGGGACUGAGACACGGCCCAGACUCCUACGGGAGGCAGCAGUGGGGAAUAUUGCACAAUGGGCGAAAGCCUGAUGCAGCGACGCCGCGUGAGGGAUGACGGCCUUCGGGUUGUAAACCUCUUUCAGCAGGGAAGAAGCGAAAGUGACGGUACCUGCAGAAGAAGCACCGGCUAACUACGUG
rnacentral:rRNA from 1 species